GGACAAAUGAGAGUGAGCAGCUCGUGCUUCACUCAAAGAGAAUCACAAGAACACCAAAAUUGGGUUUGUGUGUUCAUGUGUAAAUCCAUCAAGAAACUAACUCAAUGUGAGCUGUUCUUGAGGUAAAAUAGGAGCUAUACACGCCAAUAUGAGCUGUGUAUACUCAAGAAUAAGCAUGAGAAGCAACAGCUCUCUCAUACCAACAAGAACCCAAAUACCCUUAUAGAAACGUUUAGAGAGAAUGGGAGAACAGAAUUGAAUAGAAGGGAUGAGACCAAGCAUUGCCAAAGCUUGGUCUCUCCAUGAGAUUAUCAAGACUAGAAUCUACCCAUUUGAGUGUAAAGAAGACGUUUUGUAUAA
rnacentral:lncRNA from 1 species